AUGCCGACGCUCCUCCUCGCCGCGCUCGCGCUCGCCCUGGCCCUCUCCCACGCCGCCGCCGAAGGAGGCGCCGGGUUCUACGACCCGGCGCGGGUCACCCAGAUCUCCUGGUGCCCCAGGUCAGCUCAGCCCCCUGCUUCCUUCCCUCCGGCCUUGCCUUUCCCUGUGUGCGGCGCGCUCGCUACCUGUUUGUCGAUUUGCUUCUUGACAGCGCCAGGUUUGUUUGCUUGUGCGCGCAGGGCGUUCCUGUACAGCGGCUUCCUCUCGCACGCCGAGUGCGACCACCUCAUCAAGCUGGCCAAGGGGAGGCUGGAGAAGUCGAUGGUGGCGGACAACGAGUCCGGGAAGAGUGUCAUGAGUCAGGUGCGCACAAGCUCCGGCACCUUCUUGUCCAAGCGCGAGGAUGAAAUUAUCUCUGGAAUUGAAAAGCGUGUAGCUGCUUGGACGUUUCUCCCUGAAGAAAAUGCCGAGUCAAUGCAGGUUCUGCAUUAUGAAGUUGGUCAGAAGUAUGAUGCCCACUUUGAUUAUUUUAGUGACAAAAAGAACAUAAAGCGUGGUGGUCAUCGGGUUGCCACUGUUCUUAUGUACCUGACAGAUGUGAAGAAGGGUGGAGAGACCGUGUUCCCAAUUGCUGAGGGAAGAGAUUUACAACAUAAGGAUGAAACGUGGUCGGAGUGCGCGAGACAUGGCCUGGCAGGUAGCCUUCAGCCUCUUGCAUGUCAAAAGGAAGGGUUUUCCAUUUUACUGGCAAUGUGCAGUACUGGCAACCACUAUUUACAUAACCCUUAUCCUGAAACAAGGGUUUACUCUUCUCUUGCAGUGAAGCCAAGAAAAGGCGAUGCGCUACUGUUUUUCAGUCUCCACGUUAACGCGACAACAGAUCGGAGCAGUCUUCACGCGAGCUGCCCAGUAGUCGAGGGCGCGAAGUGGUCUGCCACAAAGUGGAUCCACGUCCGGUCAUUCGACAACCCUCCAGAUGUUAUGGCGGACACACGGUGUUCUGAUGACAAUGAGCAAUGCCCUAGAUGGGCUGCUCUUGGGGAGUGUUACAAGAAUGCAAAAUACAUGGUGGGCACGAAGGACACCCUCGGGUCUUGCCGCAAAAGUUGCGGGGUCUGCGAUGCUUGA
rnacentral:rRNA from 1 species